rnacentral:rRNA from 1 species
GAUGAACGCUGGCGGCGUGCCUAAUACAUGCAAGUCGAGCGAACAGACGAGGAGCUUGCUCCUCUGACGUUAGCGGCGGACGGGUGAGUAACACGUGGCUAACCUACCUAUAAGACUGGGAUAACUUCGGGAAACCGGAGCUAAUACCGGAUCAUAUAUUGAACCGCAUGGUUCAUUAGUGAAAGACGGUUUUGCUGUCACUUAUAGAUGGAUCCGCGCCGCAUUAGCUAGUUGGUAAGGUAACGGCUUACCAAGGCAACGAUGCGUAGCCGACCUGAGAGGGUGAUCGGCCACACUGGAACUGAGACACGGUCCAGACUCCUACGGGAGGCAGCAGUAGGGAAUCUUCCGCAAUGGGCGAAAGCCUGACGGAGCAACGCCGCGUGAGUGAUGAAGGUCUUCGGAUCGUAAAACUCUGUUAUUAGGGAAGAACAAAUGUGUAAGUAACUAUGCACGUCUUGACGGUACCUAAUCAGAAAGCCACGGCUAACUACGUG